CUGCAGGAAGCUCAGACACUUUCUGCUUUGAGUGGUUCACAAGUGGACUUAAGGACAGAGACCACUACUUUUCACCAGAGUUCUGCGGUGAAAUUCAGAUUCAUCAUCAUUAAAUAUUGUUAUCACUGUUUAUACAAUGAUGCAAGCUGUCUGAAAUGCGUCUCAGACUCAAUACUGACAUCCAACCUCAGGAGAAGAAAGGAUUCUACAGAACAACACAGAUCACUGCCUAAAAAGUUGUUUUUGUGAAGUCAGACACUCCCUGAACCUGAGCAAUUCUCAUCACAAAUCCGACUCAGCACUUAUUCACAUUUCUAUCAUUUGCACUGAGAAAGUUUUAUUCAUAGCAGUUCUGCCAUUUGUAUUUGGAAUUCACUUCUGCUCUGAGAAAUGCCUGUGCCAGCAUUCAGCCAGGAGGGAACUUUAUA